CAAGCAGGUGAGGCAAUCGGGACGUACAAUUUUGCUUUGCAAAAUGUUACGUUCAGGAAAGUCCGAACUCCUUCCGCCGAUGAGGCGGAUAAAAGGGUAGCGGGUAACACCCGCCGGCGGUGACGCCAGAGAUGCGAACAGAGACGAUGCAGCCACACAACUUCGUGUUAUGUGUCUGAGUGAAACGGUCCCGACGUUAGAGUCGGGACUCCGACCUCGCAAGAGCGUCGGAGCUAAAUUCUUACCUGGGAGCAAGAGCAAACCGGAAGCACUGAGAUUUAUCUUAGAGUUUUCGUGAAAGAGUAGCUCGCCAGAGUCCGACGGCAACGUCGGACCUAGAUAGAUGAUUGCUUUAUACAGAAUUCGGCUUAUUGCCUGCUUGAGCA
rnacentral:RNase_P_RNA from 2 species